rnacentral:rRNA from 1 species
AUUGAACGCUGGCGGCAGGCCUAACACAUGCAAGUCGAACGAGUGGCGGACGGGUGAGUAAUGUCUGGAAAACUGCCUGAUGGAGGGGGAUAACUACUGGAAACGGUAGCUAAUACCGCAUACCAUCAGAUGUGCCCAGAUGGGAUGAGUUUGUUGGUGGGGUAACGGCUCACCAAGGCGACGAUCCCUAGCUGGUCUGAGAGGAUGACCAGCAACACUGGAACGGAGACACGGUCCAGACCCCUACGGGAGGAAGCAGUGGGGAAUAUUGGACAAUGGGCGAAAGCCUGAUGCAGCCAUGCCGCGUGUAUGAAGAAGGCUUUCGGGUGGUAAAGGACUUUCAGCGGGGAGGCGUUACCCGAAGAAGAAGCACCGGCUAACUCCGUGCCAGCAGCCGCGGUAAUUC